UACGAAGGGGGCUAGCGUUGUUCGGAAUUACUGGGCGUAAAGCGCACGUAGGCGGAUACUUAAGUCAGGGGUGAAAUCCCAGAGCCCAACUCUGGAACUGCCUUUGAUACUGGGUAUCUUGAGGAUGGCAGAGGCAAGUGGAAUUCCGAGUGUAGAGGUGAAAUUCGUAGAUAUUCGGAGGAACACCAGUGGCGAAGGCGACUUGCUGGUCCAUUUCUGACGCUGAGGUGCGAAAGCGUGGGGAGCAAACAGG
rnacentral:rRNA from 1 species